UACGUAGGGUGCAGGCGUUAAUCGGAAUUACUGGGCGUAAAGCGUGCGCAGGCGGUUUGCUAAGACAGGUGUGAAAUCCCCGGGCUUAACCUGGGAACUGCGCUUGUAACUGGCAAGCUAGAGUGUGGCAGAGGGGGGUGGAAUUCCACGUGUAGCAGUGAAAUGCGUAGAGAUGUGGAGGAACACCGAUGGCGAAGGCAGCCCCCUGGGCUAACACUGACGCUCAUGCACGAAAGCGU
rnacentral:rRNA from 1 species